AGUUGCUACAAAGCACCGAGAUAAGCGGAGCCCGUGGCUAGAGAGGUAUUUCCCAGGAGCCUCCCAGGUCGCCCCGCGAGCACCAUGCACUUCCGCUUCCGGCUCUUUAUUCCGGAACUUGCUUUUUGAGGUAGUGUGCGGGAUAGUGUGGUUUUUGUGAGCUUCCACCAUGGCGUACCGAGGCCAGGGCCAGAAGGUGCAGAAGGUGAUGGUGCAGCCAAUCAAUCUCAUCUUCAGAUACUUGCAAAAUAGAUCUCGGAUUCAGGUGUGGCUUUAUGAGCAAGUGAAUAUGCGGAUAGAGGGCUGUAUCAUUGGUUUUGAUGAGUAUAUGAACCUCGUAUUAGAUGAUGCAGAAGAAAUUCAUUCUAAAACAAAGUCAAGAAAACAACUGGGUCGGAUCAUGCUAAAAGGAGAUAACAUUACUCUGCUCCAAAGUGUCUCCAACUAGAAAUGAUCAAUGAAGUGAGAAAUUGUUGAGAAGGCAAUACAGUUUUUUUAGUUCCCCAACCAGGGAACCUCUGCCCCCUGAAAUGGAAGCGUGGAGUCCUUAACACUGGACCGCCAGGGAAGUCCCUAUCUUCACCAUUUUAAAGUGUACAGCUCAGUAGUGUUAAGUAUAUUCACAUUGUUAUGCAACCAAUAUUUAGAACUUUUUUAUCUUGCAAAAAACAAACUGUACCUAUUAAACAACAACUUAACCAUCCCUCCCUUCAGCCCUUGGAUUUGAUUUUUUGUUUCUGAGUUUGAUUAGGCACCUCAUAUAAGUGGAAUCAUACAAUAUUUGUCUUUUUGUGACUGACUUACUUCACUUAGCAUAAUGUCCUCAAAUUUCAUCCAUGUUGUAGAAUGUGUCAGGAUUUCCUUCCUUUCUAAGGCUGAAUAACAUUGCAUGUAUAUAUACCACAUUUUGUUUAUACAUUUAACUGUCGAUAGACAUUUGGGUUGCUUCCACUAUUUUGACUUUUGUAAAUAAUGCUGCUGUGAAUCUUCGAGACCCUGCUUUCAGUUCUUUUGAGUAUGUUCUCUGAAGAUUUUUGAGUAACCAUCAUACUGUUUUCCACAGCGGCUUCACCAUUUUACUUUCUCAUCAACAGUGCAUAAAGGUUGCAGUUUCUUCACAUCCUUGGCAAAACAACUUCUUUUUUUUUUUUAAGAGAAGUCUGUGACUUUAUUGGCCGAGCAGGCUACUUGAAGGGGGUGAAGCCAGAGGAGUGGCCCCGAUGCCAACCUGGCUGUGUAGGUGAUUGAGAACUCAGGCUUGAUUCCACCUGGUUGAAGGCCUUGACCUUGUAGACGCCCACCAUGCUGCCCAUCAUCUCAGGCAGGAUGAUGAUGUCCUCCAGGUGCAUCUUUGCCACCUCAGGUGGCUCCUUGGGCAGUGCCUCCUUCUUGGCCUUGCACUGGCGCUUUAGCAGGGUGUGCUUCCUUGGCAGUCCUGGUUCAGCAGUAGCUGGGUGCUGUACAGCUGUACCAGCUGCUUGUAGGACACGUCCUACAAGGCCUACGCUGCUGUAGGUGAAAUUGCCGAAGGUCUGCUGCUUCUGCUCCAUUUCUGCCGUCUUGUCGAUUCUUCGGAGAGGUAAAACUUCUGUUUUUGAUAGCAGUCAUCCUGAUGGUUGUGAGGUUGUGGUUUUGAUUUGUAUUUCCAUAAUGAUUAGUGAUGUUGAGCAUCUUUUCAUAUGUUAUUGGUCAUUAGCUUGUCUUCUUUGGAGAAAUGUCUAUUCAAGUCCUCUGCCUAUUUUUAAACAGUUUUUGUUGUUGUUGUUAAUUUGAGGGAAUUCUUUACAUAUUCUGGCUUAAAUAAAUGAUUUGCAAAUAUUUUCUCCCAUUCUAUGGUUGCCUUUUCAUUCUGUUCAUUGUCUUUUGAUACAUGGAAUUUUUUAAUUAUGAUGUAAUCCAGUUUAUCUGUUUUUGCUUUUGUUGCCUUUUUUUUUUUGGCCUUGCUGCAACUUGUGGGAUCUUAGUUCCCCAAUCAGGGAUGGAACCCAGGCCCUUGGCAGAGAAAGUGCAGAGUCCUAACCACUGGACCGCCAGGAAUCCCCUGCUGCCUUUUUAGUGUCAUAAGUAUUUUUAUUUAUUUCUACACACAUACUCUUUGCAGUUCUGCUGUUAUAACAAAACUUGCACAAGUAUAACAAAAAUUGAGUCUCUCAAUUUAAGUAAUCACACCCUAUUGAUGGGUAUUUUAGGCUGUUUCUCAUUUUUUACCAUUAAAAAAAAUUUUGUAAUGAACGUCUUCAUGCCUGUCUUUGUCCACUUAACAUUUUCUGAGAUGAAUUCUUAGAAGUGGAAUUGCUAGAUCAAAGGAUAUACACAUUAAAAAACAUUAUAUAGGUACUUCUAAAUUGCCUUCCAAAGUACAUGUGAGAAAAUUGUUUUCUUCAUACUAGGCAACCGUUAGGCAGCAGCUUUAAUGAAACUCACAGGCUUAUUGUGAGGAUACUAUGAAAUAAUAAUUGCCAACAUCCUAAGGAUGCCAGAAUAGAAAAAUGGAAAAAAUUUGGCCUUUGAUGACUUUGGAACCACUGAAUUAACUCUGGAACUUCCCUACCACCUAACUUGUUAUGUGAUAGCAGAAAAUUCCUGGUUGGAUUACAAUUAAAGCAUUGUAACUGAGAACAGUGUCAGAAUGGGGCCACUUGUCUUCAGUACCUCUUAAACUUGGGAUGGGAUUAGUUGUUUAAUGAAGAUUCGUUAAAUGCCAUAGUUAAGAAAGUUGGCAAUUGAAGUGAUAAUCUUGGACUGUAGGAGGGAAUACAAAUGAAGUGAUGUGACUGAUUUUAUUCAAUAAAACAGUAAACUUCCUUAGUUAGGAAAAUAAUUCCUGAGAAAGAUGAUCUUGGAUCAUCAUUCUAUGUCCAUAGAAAUUGCUGUCUCUGGAGUAUUAACAGAUUAGCCUCAUCCCCAGAGCCACCUGAGUUUGUGAUGUUUUGCAGGGCUGGGAAAUUGCAGAGAGGAACUAGGGAGAAUAAAUAAAUGAGUGCCUCCUUUUGCUGGGCUGAUACUAAACCAGAGAUGGUAGGAGUAGAGUGGGAAAGGGAGGAUUUUCCCCAGAAAAGCAUCUUUCUUUAAAUCCUACACUUGAUAAGGUACUCUGUUUGGGAAGUUGUUUUUCACCAGUGCCAGUUUUUAUUUGCAUGUUAUAUGUUAGACAUAGUGAAGAAUAUAAAAUUUAGUCCCUGGGCUUCCCUGGUGGCACAGUGGUUAAGAAUCCGCCUACCAAUGCAGGGGACAUGAGUUCCAGCCCUGGUCCAGGAAGAUCCCACAUGCCACAGAGCAACUAAGCCCGUGCGCCCCAACUACUGAGCCUGUGCUCUAGAGCCCGUGCUCCGUAACGAGAGAAGCCACCACAGUGAGAAGCCUGCUCGCAGCAACGAAGACCCAACUCAGCCAUAAAUAAAUAAAUAAACUUACUAAAAAAAAAAAAAAGUUUAGUCCUUGUCUUUGGGGAAUUGGGAAAGCAGCGAGGUACAGAGGGAAAAAUGACCUUGGUAGUCCGCAUACUCGGGUUUAAACAGCAACUUUAGAAUUAUCCAAACCUCUUAACCUCAGUUUCAUAGGGCUGGUGGAAUAAUUUCAUGAGAUAAUACAUGUAAAGUACCUAUCAGGCCUCGGGAAUGCUCAAGAAGUAUUAUUUGUCUCGUUACAAAUGAGGAUAGAUCUGUCGUUUAAAAGAUUUAUUUAGGAAUGUGUGGGGAAAAGGUAAACUUGUUCCCCAUAGAACGAGACAGAUCACAACUUCGGGAAUCUGUUUUGUUUUUCAUGGUUCAGUUUACUGAGGCAUAAUUUACAGAUACUGAAAGUCACACUUCACACGUGUGCACUUUGAUGACAUUUGACAAAUGUAUAGUCAUGUAACCUCUGCCACAGUCAAAACAUAACAUUGAUAUUUCCAUGAUCCAAAAUGGUUUCCUCAGGCUCUUCACAGCCAAUCCACUUCAUUCACCCUAGCUCCUUGGCAACUACUGAUCUGAUUUCUGACUUUACAGUUUUGCCUUUUCCAGAAUGUCAUAUAAGUGGAAUCAUACAAUGUAUGGCCUUUUGUGUCUGACUUCCUUCAUGUAAUGCUUUUGAGAUUCAUACAUGUUUCUUGUAUCAGUGGUUUUUUCCCUUUUUAUUGCUAAGUAUUCCAUUGUAUGGAUAUACUACAAUUUGUUCAUCCAUUACCUAGUUAAUGGACAUUUGGGUUUCCAGUUUUUGGCAAGGGAGUGGUGUGACAGUCAAAUGAUAAGUGUAUGUUUAACAAGAGACUGUGAGACUUUUGAAAGUGGCUAUACCAUUUUGCAUUCCCAUUAGCAAUGUAUGUGAGUUCCAGUUGCUCUGCAUCCUCACCAGCAAUUGGUAUUGUCAGAUUUUAUUUUCUCCAUUCUAACAGGUAUAUAAUGGUAUCUCAUUGUUUUAAUUUGCAUUUUCCUAAUAUUGAAUAAUUGUGAGUACUACAGUCAUUCUUUGGUAUCCUUGAGGGAUUGGUUUCUGGGUGGCUGCCCCCCACCUCCUCCCACAGGAUACCAAAAUCUGCAGAUGCUUAAGUCCCUCAUAUUAAGUGGCGUAGUAUUUGCAUAUAACCUAUGCACAUCCUCCCCAUAUACUUUGUCAUCUCUAGAUUACUUAUAAUACCUAAUACAAUGUAAAUAGUUGUAAAUACAAUGUAAAUGCUAUGCAAAUAGUUUCUGGUGUGGGGGCAAAUUCAAGUUUUGCACUUUGGAACUUAUGUAAUUUUAUUUUUCUGAAAA